AGCGAACGCUGGCGGCAGGCUUAACACAUGCAAGUCGAGCGGGCAUCCUUGUGGUGUCAGCGGCAGACGGGUGAGUAACGCGUGGGAACGUGCCCUUCGGUUCGGAAUAACUCAGGGAAACUUGAGCUAAUACCGGAUACGUGCGAGAGCAGGAAGGUUUAUCUGCCGAAGGAUCGGCCCGCGUCUGAUUAGCUAGUUGGUGAGGUUAUGGCUCACCAAGGCGACGAUCAGUAGCUGGUCUGAGAGGAUGAUCAGCCACACUGGGACUGAGACACGGCCCAGACUCCUACGGGAGGCAGCAGUGGGGAAUAUUGGACAAUGGGGGCAACCCUGAUCCAGCCAUGCCGCGUGAGUGAUGACGGCCUUAGGGUUGUAAAGCUCUUUUCUCCGGGAGGAUAAUGACGGUACCGGAGGAAUAAGCCCCGGCUAACUUCGUG
rnacentral:rRNA from 1 species